CUCUUGCUCUUUUGAAAAAUUGGCUCAUUUUACAACUCCGCUAUACUUAAACAGUUUUACAAAGAGUUUUACAAUUUUUUUUUAUUAAUUCAGCCCAUCUCCAGUUCUGAUGGGAGCACUUUUGAUCUUACCUUAGCGUAGACUAUUGAUCUGGAUUAGACAAUUAACAUCUCAAAGAAACAUUCACAAAACGGUUUCGAUAAUUUUCUUAUUCUUACUCUUUUGUAAUCUGACCGAAAAUAAAAAGUUGCUAUUUUCUAGGCCGAUAUGGCUAGGAACUAUACUCUAUUUCUUGUACAAUAAUCAGAAAACUUUGCCUCUACAGGUACAAUAAGAUUAUGCAAUGCCUGAAAAUAACUAAUUUAUGCUAAGCCGAUAGUGCUCCUGCUUGACCCAGAGAUUGGCUAAAUGUGCAGGGAAUGAGUCUCGAGGACUGGAACUGGGAAAAAAUUUGCCAAUUUACAAAAAAACGCUGUGUUCCUUUAAGGCCAUUAUCUACUUCAACUAAAUAAAUAGAAAUAAUAAAGUUCAUUUCAAACUAAUUUGGGCCAAAAAAAAAUGUUCAGAGCCAUUUCAGAAGUCCAAAACAGAAGACUGACACUACCACAUAAUCAAUCAAGGUCAGAUGUCUGCUAUAAAAACACCAAAGUGCUGCUAACAUUGACGUUAUUUUUAAAACAGCGGUUUACAAUACUAAAUCUACUGUAAACAAAGGAAAAAGUGCUGUAAACAAACUUGAUUUGAACGUUGCUCUCACCAGCACAAACAGCAGCUGGAUGGUAACUGCAGUACGGUUGACCAUAAAACUGUAUUUCAGUCUACUUAUUGACUUUAAAUGAAAAGCAAAAAAAGAGCAGAGAAACAACGUCAUCAAGAUUUUUACCAAGUAGUAAUGUAAAAUGACAUCUUUACAUUAUUAAAAUUGACAUCUUGACCGCACUACAGAUGAAAAUCUUGCAUCGGAUGAUAGUGUACUUUUUUGCGCUAUGUUUGUAUUUUUUUGUUUAUUCAUUUUUUUUUUAAUCAAAGUUGUAAACUGUUGUCUGCUUCUCAUUUAAUGUUUUUUCAAAGUCAAACUACAUCAUUUCAUGAGGAUGAAGACCUGAGAGCUGUUAAAGAUCAUUGCUGCUCGGUGACUGAAAUCAUUAUGUUCAGCCAUCUCUCAUGUUCUUGGAGAACUACAGACUGGAGUUUACUACAAGUAUGAAUUUCCUGCCUGCUCAUCAGAUCCCUGGGGUUCCUGCAUCAAGCAACAGCAAGGAUUUUAAGGUGUUAUCAUGGUGAUUUGUUGCAUCCAAGGACAUUUUUUCGAUGUGUUCCAAAGAUAUACAGCAUGAGGACACUUUAAACUUUCAGAACACACCCACUCAUUGGGUAAUCACCAUGGAAAGGGGUCACUAAAGUUGUUUCUGGAGGGCCUAUAGGACUACUACCUCUAGGGCUGCAUUCCAUUCUAUUGUUAUAUGCCCUUUAAUUCUCUCCUUUAGAUGUGCGUCACUUAUUACAUCACACAAGAGUAUGUCCACUACUGGUGGAACAUCUGAAUGGUCUUUAAUGUAAUGUCCUAAACGCUUGAGCACUUUGGAACUAAACUAUUGUUGCUUUCUGAGAUAUAUUGGGGCUGGAGUGGACAUAUGAAGCAGACUUGCUCAUAUAAUCAAAAUCAAGGAAUCGAGGGUUCGUCCAUGUAAACAUCCCUUGUUCACUUUAGGAAUGAAACGCACUUCAAAAUUGUGUUCUCCGAGGAAACGAGUUAAGAGAAGUUUGCGAGUUUGUUUAUAAUAGGGCACUGGAACACAGCCUUUGUAUACUUGAAACUUCCAGGCAGUUGUGCUGAGGCAGCUAUAAACUCUGCAGGGACACCGGCCCUCCAGGUAUGAAGUUGGUGACCCCUGCUUAAAGGUGUUUAGGAGCCAAAACAAACUGCCCCCAGAAGUUUACUUUGAGCUGUUUCAAACUGCCAAAACAGUCUCAAAAUGGCGUUUGUUUUGCUGGAUUUUGUUCAGAAUGUCUUAAUUUAAGUUUGUUGGGUGCAUUGGGGAUUUAACACCUUCCCUCAAAGCCCUCGAAUCUAUAUAUCCUUGUACCCUCUCUCCUUUUCAUGAGAAGGCAUUAGUAAGGAAGUGAAUCCCUUUUUUUUAUUAUUUCCUGUUUAUGCUAAUGGACUAAUAUGCACAAGAGCUUUUAAUUUUAAGCCAGCUCAAUCCCUUCCGGUGAGCUGUCGUGCCAUUAUAAAAUCGCAGGAUUUAUGAUCUGGUUUCACAUACUGUACAUCACUGCCUGAUUUCUUUACAAUAUAAUGCGGGUCUCAGACCAAACAAGAAGCACUGAAUUCCAUUGUUCUGCUGAAUGUCUUUGAAAAUACUGUGGUAUAAUAAAUGUGCAUGUUUAAUCAAG